rnacentral:lncRNA from 1 species
GCUGUCCUCUCCAUCUUUGGGACCAGCCUUUCCUACUGCCACAAAUCCAGCCUGUGCACACUCUGUUCCUUCUCCUGGGAUGCUCUUCCACCCCUGUCCCCAAUGAAUCUCAGACAUCCUUGGUUGUCAGCUAAAGAUGACUUACUGGGAUGACCCCUGAUCCUCUGACCAGGCCAUCCCUGGAGGACAGUGCUUCGUGUCUUGCUCUCUCAUCUGUGCUUAGCAAAGACACACUGUUUGAUGCUAAGCUGAAAACUUGGGAUGGGUGUAGCUUGACACUACAUACAUAAUGCUCAGCUCAGCAUGGCAUGACCGGGUAUGACCAAGCCGUGUGCCAGUCAUGCCAGCAGUUAUCAAUGUGCAGACAGGAGGGCCAGAAGUUCAAAGUUAUCCUUGACUUUAUAGUUCAAGGCUAGCCUGGCCUACAUGAGACCGUGUCUCAAACCAACCAACCAACCAACCAAUCAAACAAGGAUCAGGAGCUGUGCUAGGUGGGCGCUCUGCUGCCACACUCCAGCCCCACACUGCAGGUUUUCCACAGCUUCCUCUAUAGUUCUGAUUGAUUGUUUUUUGAUUCAGGACAAGGCUGUGAAUUUGUGAGGCAGAAUCUACAAGCAAUGAGUGGAGAGCCCAUGCAGCUAAGAAAUCUGUUCCAUGCCCCACAGCUUAUGACUGUGGGACUCUGUGGACAUGAAACCUGGCUUGUAACUUCACACCUUCAUUGGGGUAGCAAGCUGGUCUGAAGCUCAAGACCACAUGAAGCCCUACAGAGUCUGCUUCUCCCUGCUUCCUGUUCCUCUACGUCGCUGGCUCUUUUCACAUCCCUCUUCGGAGCCUCCGGACCCUCUGUGCCCCAACUGCCUCCCACGCCCAUCCCUGCCCUCUUCUGCUUUGGUCCUUGCUCCAGACUGCUGCGCCAUCCUCAGAUUCUACUGCCUGCACUGGGAGGAGUCAGGUUUAUGGCAGAGCAUGUGUGUUGCUGAGAAGCCUCUCUGAUUCACGUUGGAUAUAGCACGAAGGUGUACAAGGAGAAGUGUCUGUCUGUGUGUCCAGCAUCCUGCAAAGGCCCAAGCACCGCAGCAAAGCAAAGAGCUCCAGGCACCCCAGUUUCAUUUCAUUUCCUCCAAAGCCCCUGGGAAUUCUUCUGAGCUCCCGGGGUUGCUGGUGAGCAGAAUCAGACUGGGAAAAGCCAUGCCAGGGGCUCAGCCGAGGGGUGUGAUCCUUGUGCCAAGAUCUCCAGUUUCGUGUUUUGUUUCUUCUGAAACACGCUCUGACCUGUAUAAUUUGAUGUUACUCACAUCUAAAUGCUAAUAAAACAACUGAAAUAUUUGCA